CCUACGGGAGGCUGCAGUGAGGAAUAUUGGUCAAUGGGCGCAAGCCUGAACCAGCCAAGUCGCGUGAGGGAAGACGGCCCUACGGGUUGUAAACCUCUUUUGCCGGAGAGCAAGCCUGAGCACGUGUGCCCAGGCGGAGAGUACCCGCAGAAAAAGCAUCGGCUAACUCCGUGCCAGCAGCCGCGGUAAUACGGAGGAUGAGAGGGUUGUCGGGUUUUAUUGGGUUUAAAGGGGGCGCAGGCGGGCUGUAAAGUCGGCGGGAAAAAUUCAGGCUUAAACCCGGUCGGGCCGUAGAUACUGUAGAUCUGGAGAGGGGGUGCGGUAGGCGGAAUGGAUGGUGUAGCGGUGAAAUGCAUAGAGAUCACACAGAACGGUGAUUGCGAAGGCAGCUUACC
rnacentral:rRNA from 1 species